rnacentral:rRNA from 1 species
CAUUACCGAGUUAUUCAACUCAUCAACCCUGUGAACAUACCUAAACGUUGCUUCGGCGGGAAUAGACGGCCCCGUGAAACGGGCCGCCCCCGCCAGAGGACCCUUAACUCUGUUUCUAUAAUGUUUCUUCUGAGUAAAACAAGCAAAUAAAUUAAAACUUUCAACAACGGAUCUCUUGGCUCUGGCAUCGAUGAAGAACGCAGCGAAAUGCGAUAAGUAAUGUGAAUUGCAGAAUUCAGUGAAUCAUCGAAUCUUUGAACGCACAUUGCGCCCGCCAGUAUUCUGGCGGGCAUGCCUGUUCGAGCGUCAUUACAACCCUCAGGCCCCCGGGCCUGGCGUUGGGGAUCGGCGGAGCCUCUCUGUGGGCACACGCCGUCCCCCAAAUACAGUGGCGGUCCCGCCGCAGCUUCCAUCGCGUAGUAGCUAACACCUCGCGACUGGAGAGCGGCGCGGCCACGCCGUAAAACACCCAACUUUUCUGAAGUUGACCUCGAAUCAGGUAGGAAUACCCGCUGAACUUAAGCAUAUCAAUAAGCGGAGGAA